CCCCCCCCUCUCAUCUUCCUCACUGAUCUUCAUCGCCCCGAUUGCCCCUUGUCGCCCGGGCACCGCCUUCCCUCUUCCCUAGCCAUCCUCUACGUCGAAUCAUUCCUUAUCCUUGCCCUCUUCAUAGCCAUUCUCUUCCUGAUCCGUUGUGACGACGUCGUCUCCCUGCUCAAGCCGUGAUCGCGGCGAUGAGACAAGGUCGAGCUCGCUGGCGUCGCUCACCUCACACCAACUGAGCCUCCCAGUUUCCCCUCUGAUCCGUUAAUCUCCUCGUACCAAGCAGCAUUGUGUCGUGCCCUAGUUCCCGAUCCAUGGUCGCCGCCGCACGCCGAUCCAAUUGUUGAUUUCCACCUCUAGCCAGCACCAACCGGUCAGUAGAGGAUGAAACCCUAGAUUGAUUUUUCGCCAUUGAUCUCGGCCCUAGUGUUAUCGCCACAUUGUCUUCUGGCCGGCUUGACACCAGCAGUGAACAUUUGGUAUAAACAAGUAGUGACUUUCCUACUGGACUCCGACCACAAUUGUAGGUCAGAGGACCUUAGAAGUAGUGAAGAUUGUUUGGGGGGCAGAUCUGCGAUUCCUGGAAAGGAAGCCAAAACUUACGUGGUGGAGCUGUGGCCAAAAAUUUUGGCAGUAAGUUCUUCAAGAUUGGAGCAGUGUUGAGGCAUCGGAAAAUUGGGACUCUGAUUCGAGAUGAGCAUCUCGACAUCGGAUUG